UAGAGUUUGAUUCUGGCUCAGGACGAACGCUGGCGGCGUGCCUAAUACAUGCAAGUAGAACGCUGAAGGAGGAGCUUGCUUCUCUGGAUGAGUUGCGAACGGGUGAGUAACGCGUAGGUAACCUGCCUGGUAGUGGGGGAUAACUAUUGGAAACGGACGCUAAUACCGCAUACGUCCUACGGGAGAAAGCAGGGGACCUUCGGGCCUUGCGCUAUCAGAUGAGCCUAGGUCGGAUUAGCUAGUUGGUGGGGUAAUGGCUCACCAAGGCGACGAUCCGUAACUGGUCUGAGAGGAUGAUCAGUCACACUGGAACUGAGACACGGUCCAGACUCCUACGGGAGGCAGCAGUGGGGAAUAUUGGACAAUGGGCGAAAGCCUGAUCCAGCCAUGCCGCGUGUGUGAAGAAGGUCUUCGGAUUGUAAAGCACUUUAAGUUGGGAGGAAGGGCAGUAAAUUAAUACUUUGCU
rnacentral:rRNA from 1 species